rnacentral:rRNA from 1 species
CCUACGGGAGGCAGCAGUGGGGAAUAUUGGACAAUGGGCGAAAGCCUGAUCCAGCCAUGCCGCGUGUGUGAAGAAGGCCUUCGGGUUGUAAAGCACUUUCAGUGGGGAAGAAAGCCUUGGGGCUAAUACCCUCGAGGAAGGACAUCACCCACAGAAGAAGCACCGGCUAACUCCGUGCCAGCAGCCGCGGUAAUACGGAGGGUGCGAGCGUUAAUCGGAAUUACUGGGCGUAAAGCGCGCGUAGGCGGUCUGAUAAGCCGGUUGUGAAAGCCCCGGGCUCAACCUGGGAACGGCAUCCGGAACUGUCAGGCUAAAGUGCAGGAGAGGAAGGUAGAAUUCCCGGUGUAGCGGUGAAAUGCGUAGAGAUCGGGAGGAAUACCAGUGGCGAAGGCGGCCUUCUGGACUGACACUGACGCUGAGGUGCGAAAGCGUGGGUAGCAAACAGGAUUAGAUACCCGAGUAGUC